CGCUGGCGGCGUGCCUAAUACAUGCAAGUCGAACGAGUUUGCUUUUAAUGAAGGCGGUGCUUGCACCAACUGAUUUAAAAAUAAACGAGUGGCGGACGGGUGAGUAACACGUGGGUAACCUACCCUAAAGUGGGGGAUAACAUUUGGAAACAGAUGCUAAUACCGCAUAAUAUUAAAAACCACAUGGUUUUUAAUUGAAAGACGGCGUAAGCUGUCACUUUUGGAUGGACCCGCGGCGUAUUAGCUAGUUGGUGAGGUAACGGCUCACCAAGGCGAUGAUACGUAGCCGACCUGAGAGGGUGAUCGGCCACAUUGGGACUGAGACACGGCCCAAACUCCUACGGGAGGCAGCAGUAGGGAAUCUUCCACAAUGGACGAAAGUCUGAUGGAGCAACGCCGCGUGAGUGAAGAAGGUUUUCGGAUCGUAAAACUCUGUUAUUGGAGAAGAACGUAUUUGGUAGUAACUGGCCAGAUAGUGACGGUAUCCAAUCAGAAAGCCACGGCUAACUACGUGCCAGCAGCCGCGGUAAUACGUAGGUGGCAAGCGUUGUCCGGAUUUAUUGGGCGUAAAGCGAGUGCAGGCGGUUUUUUAAGUCUGAUGUGAAAGCCUUCGGCUUAACCGAAGAAAUGCAUUGGAAACUGGGAAAC
rnacentral:rRNA from 2 species